GAUGAACGCUGGCGGCGUGCCUAAUACAUGCAAGUCGAGCGAAUGGAUUAAGAGCUUGCUCUUAUGAAGUUAGCGGCGGACGGGUGAGUAACACGUGGGUAACCUGCCCAUAAGACUGGGAUAACUCCGGGAAACCGGGGCGAAUACCGGAUAACAUUUUGAACCGCAUGGUUCGAACUUGAAAGGCGGCUUCGGCUGUCACUUAUGGGUGGACCCGCGUCGUAUUAGCUAGUUGGUGAGGUAACGGCGCACCAAGGCAACGAUGCGUAGCCGACCUGAGAAGGUGAUCGGCCACACUGGGACUGAGACACGGCCCAAACUCCUACGGGAGGCAGCAGUAGGGAAUCUUCCGCAAUGGACGAAAGUCUGACGGAGCAACGCCGCGUGAGUGAUGAAGGCUUUCGGGUCGUAAAACUCUGUUGUUAGGGAAGAACAAGUGCUAGUUGAAUAAGCUGGCACCUUGACGGUACCUAACCAGAAAGCCACGGCUAACUACGUGCCAGCCGCCGCCGUAA
rnacentral:rRNA from 1 species